GACGAACGCUGGCGGCGUGCUUAACACAUGCAAGUCGAGCGGUAAGGCCCUUUCGGGGGUACGACGAGCGGCGAACGGGUGAGUAACACGUGGGUGACCUGCCCUCAGCUCUGGGAUAAGCCUGGGAAACCGGGUCUAAUACUGGAUAUGACUCCAUGACGCAUGUUGUGGGGUGGAAAGCCUUGUGCGGCUGAGGAUGGGCCCGCGGCCUAUCAGCUUGUUGGUGGGGUGAGGCCUACCAAGGCGACGACGGGUAGCCGGCCGUGA
rnacentral:rRNA from 1 species